rnacentral:tRNA from 1 species
GGGGAUCUGUCUCAGUAGGUAGAGUGUUUGCCUAGUAUGCUAGAAGCCCUGAGUAAAAACUUCAGGACCUCCC